CAAGAGCGUAUAUUAAAGUUGCUGCGGUUAAAAAGCUCGUAGUUGGAUUUCAGUCUAGGAAGGUUAACUCGCCGAAAGGUUGUACGUUGAUUUUCCUCAGACUUCGUCAGAAGCUCGUGCUGCACUUAACUGUGUGGUACGAUGUUCUGACCUUUUACCCUGAGGAAAGUAGAGUGUUUCAGGCAGGCUACCCAGCUUGAAUACAUUAGCAUGGAAUAAUGAAAUGGAUCUCGGUUCGAUUUCGUUGGUUCUAGAGCUGAGGUGAUGAUCAAUAGGAACAGGCGAAGGUAUUCGUACUUGAGAGUGAGGAGUGAAAUCCGAUGAUCUCUUAAAGACGAUCCGAGGCGAAAGCAUUUGUCAAGGAUGUUUUCAUUGA
rnacentral:rRNA from 1 species